rnacentral:rRNA from 1 species
UACAGAGACCCCAAGCGUUAUCCGGAUUUAUUGGGCGUAAAGCGUGCGCAGAUGGUUUUUAAAGUCUGUGGUCAAAUCCUGAUGCUUAACAUCAGGACUGCCAUGGAAACUUAAUAACUAGAGGACGGAAGAGGUCAACGGAAUUGCCGGUGUAACGGUCAAAUGUGUUAAUAUCGGCAAGAACACCAGAGGCGAAAGCGGUUGACUGGUACGUACCUGACAUUGUGGCACGAAAGCGUGGGUAGCGAAUGGGAUUAGAUACCCCAGUAGUCCACGCCGUAAACGAUGGAUAUUAGUCAUUGGCAGUAUCGACCCUGUCAGUGGCGUCAAAAAAAGCUAACGCAUUAAAUAUCCCGCCUGGGAAGUACGGUCGCACGACUAAAACUCAAAGGAAUUGACGGGGGCCCGCACAAGCGGUGGAUCAUGUGGUUUAAUUCGACAAUAAGCGUGAAACCUUACCCAGACUUGACAUUUAGCUGCAAAUCCCGAGAGAUCGGGACUCCUUCGAGGGUGCUAAACAGGUGCUGCAUGGUUGUCGUCAGCUCGUGCCGUGAGGUGUAGCCUUAAGUGGUUUAACGAGCGCAACCCUCAUUCUAUGUUAAAUAUUCAUAGAAGACUGCCCUGCUCAACAGGGAGGAAGGCGAGGAUGACGUCAAAUCAGCAUGGCUCUUACGUCUGGGGCAACACACGUGAUACAAUGGCCGGUACAAAGGGUUGCUAAGCGGUAACGCGGAGCUAAUCCCGCUCAAAACCGGUCUCAGUUCGGAUUGAGGUCUGCAAUUCGACCUCAUGAAGUUGGAAUCGCUAGUAACCGUGAAUCAGAAUGUCACGGUGAAUACGUUCUCGGGCCU